GAUGAACGCUGGCGGCGUGCUUAACACAUGCAAGUCGAACGGUGAACACGGAGCUUGCUCUGUGGGAUCAGUGGCGAACGGGUGAGUAACACGUGAGCAACCUGCCCCUGACUCUGGGAUAAGCGCUGGAAACGGCGUCUAAUACUGGAUAUGUGACGUGACCGCAUGGUCUGCGUUUGGAAAGAUUUUUCGGUUGGGGAUGGGCUCGCGGCCUAUCAGCUUGUUGGUGAGGUAAUGGCUCACCAAGGCGUCGACGGGUAGCCGGCCUGAGAGGGUGACCGGCCACACUGGGACUGAGACACGGCCCAGACUCCUACGGGAGGCAGCAGUGGGGAAUAUUGCACAAUGGGCGCAAGCCUGAUGCAGCAACACCGCGUGAGGGAUGACGGCCUUCGGGUUGUAAACCUCUUUUAGCAGGGAAGAAGCGAAAGUGACGGUACCUGCAGAAAAAGCGCCGGCUAACUACGUG
rnacentral:rRNA from 1 species